rnacentral:rRNA from 1 species
UACGUAGGGUGCGAGCGUUGUCCGGAAUCAUUGGGCGUAAAGGGCUCGUAGGCGGUCCAUCGCGUCGGGAGUGAAACGCUGGGGCUUAACCCCAGUCCUGCUUUCGAUACGGGUGGACUAGAGGUAGGCAGGGGAGAAUGGAAUUCCUGGUGUAGCGGUGAAAUGCGUAGAUAUCGGGAGGAACACCUGUGGCGAAAGCGGCUCACUGGACCAUAACUGACGCUGAUGCACGAAAGCUGGGGGAGCAAACAGG